UAAUGGUUCAACCACCAACGAGCUUAACCUAGAAAUCACAUUGUCGCACAGAUUGGACUAAACUUCUGGUCCCACCGGACUUCCAAUCGUCGCACGGGUAGCGUGCUUCGAUUUCGGUGAAUUAUUUUAAUGCCUUGAAUUGGCAACGAGGAACGCCACGCUUCGUCUGGCCAUCGACCCGACGACGGCUGACGACGAUGGCAAACAAACUGCACCGCUUACUGACGGCGCCAUUGACGCUGUCGAAGCGUGAGUUCGUGCAACCGAAAUUAGGGUUAGGGCUGGCGCUUCAGGGAGCGAGAACCCUUGCAACUUCUGCGCCGCCGCCGUCUCAAGAGGCGUCUAGGUUUGAUCCGCCGCCUUCCCCGUUGAAGCCGGCAGAAGCUGACAAGGAGGAAGUGAAAAUCGAAGAGGGAACUAGAAAAGAUGAGGUGGUGGAGAAUGAUGAUGGCGACUGCGUGAACAAGCUCACCGGUGAGAUUGGCGGUCCGAAGGGCCCCGAGCCAACUCGGUAUGGAGAUUGGGAACGCGGAGGUCGCUGCUCCGACUUUUAGUUCCCUUCGUCAGCAGAACUGAAUAAACUUCUUAAAAAGAUCCUGGGUGACAGAUGGACAAGAAAAGGUAAGCAUUUCCAGCCUGGAUCUUCUUGUUGCGGUGCAAUUGACCUGUUCUCUCCUGUAGCAGUUCUUUCCAGGACAAAAAGUUUCUGUUUCUAUCGAACAUUUGUACUAAUUUCAGAGGUUUGUUAAUGCAAUUAGUUUAAAUGAGAGAGAACUCUUUAGCUUCUAA